rnacentral:tRNA from 1 species
GGCCAGGUGGUGGAAUUGGUAGACACGCUACUUUGAGGGGGUAGUGCCCGUUCGGGUAUAGGAGUUCGACUCUCCUUCUGGUCACAA